GGCUCUAGUCACAGGCUCUGGGUAGUUGUGCAGGGGAAUGUCAGUAGUGGCGGUGGGGUGUCUCCAGCCCUCCUUUCUUGGAAUGUCUACUGUCACCUUGAGCUGAUGGGGUUUCUUCUGGGAAAGUCAAGCCACUGAUGGAAGAGAGAAGCCACUGCUGGUUAUAGAGGGAAAGCACACACGAACUGGUCGUGAGCAGAUACGAGUUAGAGGCACACACAUCGGCAACCUUUCCCUUUUCUCUUCUAACUAGGACCCUUUGCAAGGUGAUUACCCAAACCGCAAGAUCCACCCGUCUGCCCUAGCCCUGGGCGAGCAUCCCGCACCGCAGAUCCACCCCCUCCUGUCAGGUUCACGUCGUCCUUGGGCGU